rnacentral:lncRNA from 1 species
GUAUUCUGGCAUCAAUAGAGUUCUCCGCCCCCAAUCUUUGGGAAGUUUCACAUUCUGGGCACCUCCUCUCCUCACCCAACAAUGAUGUCUUGUGUCUUGAUCCCAGUUGAAGAGACUGGCACACAAACAGCCUUGGCUAUUCAUUCCUAGAGCAAUUUUACAUAUGCAAGACUGAAGCCAAGAUUAAUGUCUUCAUCCCAAAUGUGCUCAUUCAAAUACAUCCUGAAUACACUUUGUUCUUCCCUCUGGUCUGGCUACAUUUGCCAUCUUUGCAACUUGCUGCUCUAUGGCUCUUUUUCCUCCCAUGCUGUUCCUCAUGAAUUUCAAAAUCCAAAACCACCUUCUGCCAUCAUCAUACUUCAUGACAAGGAGAAUAUUCUUCUGGUUGAUGAUGCUGUGGAUACCUAAUAUGAAAUACGAGGAGACCUAAUAUUCAAAUAGAUGUGAAAUCAAGAAGUCAAGAGGAAGCAAGAUCACAUCACCCUUUGUGUCCAAACAUGGAAUGGCUUGGUGUGUUCCUUUGUUUUCCUUCAAUUGAUCUCUCCUAAUUGGUAUCAAAUCAUGUUGCUCUUUCUUUCAAUUUUAGCUUUUACAUCUAUCUGCUAAGAACCUAGUGUUCUCUAUAGCACACAAAUCCCCUUUCAUUAACUUUAGGUAAGCAGCAAUAACUCUAAUGGUUAAUAUUUUGUGAGUACUUGUUAAGUGCUGGGUGAUGCUUUGCCUGUGUCCACAAAUGAUCUCAUUUAAUCUUCUCUGCGUAAAUAUGGAUGAGUACUUCAUAAUCAUUGUACAAACAAUGGCAGCAAAUUGCUCAAGGUCACUGAUUUG